GACGAACGCUGGCGGCGUGCUUAACGCAUGCAAGUCGAACGGAAAGGCCCUGCUUUUGUGGGGUGCUCGAGUGGCGAACGGGUGAGUAACACGUGAGUAACCUGCCCUUGACUUUGGGAUAACUUCAGGAAACUGGGGCUAAUACCGGAUAGGAGCUCCUGCUGCAUGGUGGGGGUUGGAAAGUUUCGGCGGUUGGGGAUGGACUCGCGGCUUAUCAGCUUGUUGGUGGGGUAGUGGCUUACCAAGGCUUUGACGGGUAGCCGGCCUGAGAGGGUGACCGGCCACAUUGGUACUGAGAUACGCCCCAGCCUCCUACGGGAGGCAGCAGUGGGGAAUAUUGCACAAUGGGCGGAAGCCUGAUGCAGCAACGCCGCGUGCGGGAUGACGGCCUUCGGGUUGUAAACCGCUUUCGCCUGUGACGAAGCGUGAGUGACGGUAAUGGGUAAAGAAGCACCGGCUAACUACGUG
rnacentral:rRNA from 1 species